AAAGACGAAGAAAUAAAUAAAUCAUUAGUUUCUACAGAAAGGCAACGACGAAAUCAUCAAGAGUAAUGAAAAUAAUUUAAAAUUAUGUUCCAUAAUGAAGGCAUAGUUAUUUUCAAAGAAUCUGACAUUACAAAGGAUGGAUAUUCUAAGCCGCACCAAACGAGCCGUCACUUCUGCAACGGGCCAGAAAGAAAAAAAACAAAAGAAGGAGAAGAAACGAAAGAAGAAGACGACCAAAAAGUUAACCAAGCAGCGUCCUAUAUUUCCCGUAGCUGAUAUACAUAACCAACUGGAAAAAGGCAAACCGAGAGGAUGCGUCACUCCUGAGGUGCCUCUGUACUUGGCAGCUGCGGAAGAAUACUUCUGCUGUGAAUUAAUAGAGAUGGCAGUGAACAGUGCUGUCAGCCGAGGCAGCGCUGCCAUAGACGUCCCGGACGUCGUUAAUGCUAUCAGAAACGAUCCCGAACUUAAUAGAAUGGUGGGUGACGUCAUCAAAGAUUUUUAGAGAACACCGAGUUCACAAAAUUGGAGGCUAGAAACAAUUAAAUCUAUUUCCGUACCAGACUGAUAUUCAAUUAAGUUGUAAUAAUGUAUGCUAGCAUGUAUGAACGUAAAUUAAUAAAGCGUUUAACAAAACUUGACAGAA